CUGAACGCCUCUAAGUCAGAAUCCGUGCUAGAAACGAUGAUGUUGGGGUCGCACAUUAGACUUGUGUUUAAUAGAGCUUUGCUCGUGAACCAAAUAUGGUGGGCUGGGUUGUCUUUGUGGAAACGCUUAGGCGACUUGUCUACGAAUUGUAAUCAUAAUAUGGGCGGCGGUGAAUCCUUUGCAGACGACUUGAAUGGGAACGGGGUACUGUAAGUGGUAGAGUAGCCUUGUUGCUACGAUCCACUGAGGUUAAGCCCUUGUUCUAAAGAUUUGUUCA
rnacentral:rRNA from 1 species